GCCUGGGUAGCUCAGUUGGUUGAGCGUCUGACUUUGGCUCAGGUCAUGAUCUCACAGUUUGUGGGUUCAAACCCCACAUUGGGCU
rnacentral:tRNA from 1 species